GAUGAACGCUGGCGGCGUGCUUAACACAUGCAAGUCGAACGGAAAGGCCCAAGCUUGCUUGGGUACUCGAGUGGCGAACGGGUGAGUAACAUGUGGGUGAUCUGCCCUGCACUUCGGGAUAAGCCUGGGAAACUGGGUCUAAUACCGGAUAGGACCACAUUUUGGAUGGUGUGGUGGAAAGUUUUUCGGUGUGGGAUGAGCUCGCGGCCUAUCAGCUUGUUGGUGGGGUAAUGGCCUACCAAGGCGUCGACGGGUAGCCGGCCUGAGAGGGUGUACGGCCACAUUGGGACUGAGAUACGGCCCAGACUCCUACGGGAGGCAGCAGUGGGGAAUAUUGCACAAUGGGCGCAAGCCUGAUGCAGCGACGCCGCGUGGGGGAUGACGGCCUUCGGGUUGUAAACUCCUUUCGCUAGGGACGAAGCGUUAUGUGACGGUACCUGGAGAAGAAGCACCGGCUAACUACGUG
rnacentral:rRNA from 1 species